rnacentral:misc_RNA from 1 species
UUUCGGUAUCCUGUGUUGCUUACCUCGUACGGAAUUUUUUGCCUCGCUGUCCCUCUCCUCCUUUGUGACCUUCGGGUCGCAAGGGGGACAUCGUAGCGUCACCUGUGUCCCGAACAUGCCUCGACGCUCUGUCGUGGCUGUCGCGGUCCUCGGGUGAUUGCUUGUACUCUCGGAUUCGGAAUACUACGUGGGUGCGGGGGUCUCUGGCCACCGAACGCUCGAAACAGUCCCUUGACACGGACGACUGUCGUGCCUACAGAAAUCCCUGGCCGAAAGGUCAGYGGGCUUYUGCAGCGCACGACGUCCCAAAGGAAUGCUACCUGGUUGAUCCUGCCAGUAGUCAUAUGCU